UGGCGAACGGGUGAGUAACGCGUGAGGAACCUGCCUCAAAGAGGGGGACAACAGUUGGAAACGACUGCUAAUACCGCAUAAGCCCACGACCCGGCAUCGGGUAGAGGGAAAAGGAGCAAUCCGCUUUGAGAUGGCCUCGCGUCCGAUUAGCUAGUUGGUGAGGUAACGGCCCACCAAGGCGACGAUCGGUAGCCGGACUGAGAGGUUGAACGGCCACAUUGGGACUGAGACACGACCCAG
rnacentral:rRNA from 1 species